rnacentral:tRNA from 1 species
UUAAUUGAAGCCAAAAUAGAGGCCUUUCAUUGUUAAUGAAAUAAUUGAUUAAGAAUUUAUAAUCCAAUUAAA